GUUGUACUUUCUGUUGUUGUCUCAGUUGUGAUGCUUUCAGCUGUUGUUGAAGUUUCUGCUGUUGUACUUGCUAAAGUUGUGGUACCAGUGGUGGUGCUUUCUGUUGUUGUAGUAUCGAUUGUGGUGCUGUCUGUUGUCAUUCUUGUCUCUGUUGUUGUACUUUCUGGUGUUGUGGUACUGGAGGUUGUACUUUCGGUUGUUGUCUCAGUUGUGAUGCUUUCAGUUGUUGUUGAAGUUUCUGCUGUUGUACUUUCUAAAGUUGUGGUACCGGUGGUGGUGCUUUCUGUUGUUGUAGUAUCGAUUGUGGUGCUGUCUGUUGUUAUUGUUGUCUCUGCAUUUGUACUUUCUGGUGUUGUGGUACCGGAGGUUGUACUUUCUGUUGUUGUCUCAGUUGUGGUGCUGUCUGUUGUUAUUGAAAUUUCUGCUGUUGUACUUUCUAAAGUUGUGGUACCGGUGGUGGUGCUUUGUGUUGUUGUAGAAUCCAUUGUGGUGCUGUCUGUUGUUAUUGUUGUCUCUGCUGUUGUACUUUCUGGUGUUGUGGUACCGGAGGUUGUACUUUCUGUUGUGGUGCCUGUGGUUGUACUUUCUGUUGUUGUCUCAGUUGUGGUGCUUUCAGUUGUUAUUGAAAUUUCUGCUGUUGUACUUUCUAAAGUUGUGGUACCGGUGGUGGUGCUUUGUGUUGUUGUAGAUUCCAUUGUGGUGCUGUCUGUUGUUAUUGUUGUCUCUGCUGUUGUACUUUCUGGUGUUGUGGUACCGGAGGUUGUACUUUCUGUUGUGGUGCCUGUGGUUGUACUUUCUGUUGUUGUCUCAAUUGUGGUGCUUUCAGUUGUUGUUGAAGUUUCUGCUGUUGUACUUUCUGGUAUAGUGGUACCAGAGGUUGUACUUUCUGUUGUUGUCUCAGUUGUGAUGCUGUCUGUUGUUAUUGUUGUUUCUGCUGUUGUACUUUCUGGUGUUGUGGUACCGGAGGUUGUACUUUCUGUUGUUGUCUCAGUUGUGGUGCUUUCAGUUGUUGUUGAAGUUUCUGCUGUUGUACUUUCUAAAGUUGUGGUACCGGUG
ensembl:lncRNA